UGGGGAAUAUUGCACAAUGGGCGCAAGCCUGAUGCAGCAACGCCGCGUGAGGGACGACGGCCUUCGGGUUGUAAACCUCUUUUAGUAGGGAAGAAGCGAAAGUGACGGUACCUGCAGAAAAAGCACCGGCUAACUACGUGCCAGCAGCCGCGGUAAUACGUAGGGUGCGAGCGUUGUCCGGAAUUAUUGGGCGUAAAGAGCUCGUAGGCGGUCUGUCGCGUCUGCUGUGAAAACCCGAGGCUCAACCUCGGGCCUGCAGUGGGUACGGGCAGACUAGAGUGCGGUAGGGGAGAAUGGAAUUCCUGGUGUAGCGGUGGAAUGCGCAGAUAUCAGGAGGAACACCGAUGGCGAAGGCAGUUCUCUGGGCCGUAACUGACGCUGAGGAGCGAAAGCGUGGGGAGCGAACAGGAUUAGAUACCCUGGUAGUCCACGCCGUAAACGUUGGGCGCUAGAUGUGGGGCACCAUUCCACGGUUUCCGUGUCGCAGCU
rnacentral:rRNA from 1 species